GACAGAGGGUGCAAACGUUGCUCGGAAUUACUAAACAUAAAAACACAUAUAAACGGUCACGCAAGUCAGGUGUGAAAGCCCAGGGCUCAACCCUGGAAGUGCACAUGAUACUACGUGGCUGGAGUACUGAAGAGGAGAGCGGAAUUCCCGGUGUAGAGGUGAAAUUCGUAGAUAGUCGGGGAGGAACACCAGUGGCGAAGGCGGCUCCUCUGGGGCAGAUACGUGACGCCUGGAGACGCGAAAGCGUGGGGAGCAAA
rnacentral:rRNA from 1 species